rnacentral:ncRNA from 2 species
AAAAUAGAUAGAGGUUGCGGUGUUAAUUAGUAUAAUGUGGAGCAGGCAUGCAUUGAAGCAUUUGAAAGGUACACAUCGCCGAACGAGUCUGUAGGUAUACAUGAUUCGUGGGACUACAAGGAAUACUUGUAGUACUCCUACUUAAGUAGUGGCGCUAUCACUUGU